rnacentral:rRNA from 1 species
UACGUAGGGGGCGAGCGUUGUCCGAAGUUACUGGGCGUAAAGCGCACGUAGGCGGAUCUUUAAGUCAGGGGUGAAAUCCUGGAGCUCAACUCCAGAACUGCCUUUGAUACUGGGGAUCUCGAGUCCGGAAGAGGUGAGUGGAACUCCGAGUGUAGAGGUGAAAUUCGUAGAUAUUCGGAAGAACACCAGUGGCGAAGGCGGCUCACUGGUCCGGUACUGACGCUGAGGUGCGAAAGCGUGGGGAGCAAACAGG